AAUAACCGAAAAUUAUGCCUGGGUUAAGAGUAGGGUUAGUAAUCGAGCGUACAUCUCCCAAAUUAGUGUCAUAAAUGCCGCCAAAAAACAUGGCUUUUAGCACUAGUAAGAAUGCUCCUAAACCCAGAAUAAUUAGGUGAUGUCCUAAAAUCAAACUCAAUUGUUUAGGGUCAUUCCA
rnacentral:antisense_RNA from 14 species